AUACGGAGGAUGCAAGCGUUAUCCGGAUUCAUUGGGUUUAAAGGGUGCGUAGGCGGAAUAAUAAGUCAGUGGUGAAAGCCUGCGGCUUAACCGUAGAAAUGCCAUUGAUACUGUUAUUCUUGAGUAUAGUUGAGGUGGGCGGAAUGUGUAAUGUAGCGGUGAAAUGCUUAGAUAUUACACAGAACACCAAUUGCGAAGGCAGCUCACUAAGCUGUUACUGACGCUGAGGCACGAAAGCGUGGGGAGC
rnacentral:rRNA from 1 species